UGGGGGAUAUUGCACAAUGGGCGAAAGCCUGAUGCAGCGACGCCGCGUGGGGGAUGAAGGCUUUCGGGUUGUAAACCUCUUUCGCUAUCGAACAAGGCCCGCUUAGGGUGGGUUGAGGGUAGGUGGAGAAGAAGCGCCGGCUAACUACGUGCCAGCAGCCGCGGUAAUACGUAGGGCGCGAGCGUUGUCCGGAAUUAUUGGGCGUAAAGGGCUUGUAGGCGGCUUGUUGCGCCUGCUGUGAAAACGCGGGGCUUAACUUCGCGCGUGCAGGGGGUACGGGCAGGCUUGAGUGUGGUAGGGGUGACUGGAAUUCCAGGUGUAGCGGUGGAAUGCGCAGAUAUCUGGAGGAACACCGAUGGCGAAGGCAGGUCACUGGGCCAUUACUGACGCUGAGGAGCGAAAGCAUGGGUAGCGAACAGG
rnacentral:rRNA from 2 species